rnacentral:rRNA from 1 species
UACGUAGGCGGUUUGAUAAGUCUGAAAUUAAAGACUGAGGCUUAACCUCAGGAAUGUAUCGGAAACUGUCAGACUAGAGGACAAUAGAGGAAGUCGGAAUUCUCAGUGUAGCGGUGAAAUGCGUAGAUAUUGGGAAGAACACCAGUGGCGAAAGCGGACUUCUGGGUUGUUACUGACGCUGAGGUACGAAAGCGUGGGAGGCAAACG